rnacentral:rRNA from 1 species
UCUCAAAGAUUAAGCCAUGCAUGUGUUCGUACAUGCCUCAUUAAGGCGAAACCGCGAAUGGCUCAUUAAAUCAGUUACGGUUCCUUAGAUGUUGACAAUCUACAUGGAUAACUGUGGUAAUUCUAGAGCUAAUACAUGCACCAAAGCUUCGACCCUUGCGGGAAGGAGCGCAUUUAUUAGACCAAGACCAAUGGRGCGURCUUCGGUGCGCUCGCURRGAUGGUGACUCUGGAUAACUGAGCUGACCGCAUGGCCYMCGAGCCGGCGGCGAAUCUUUCAAGUGUCUGCCUUAUCAACUGUCGAUGGUAGGUUAUGCGCCUACCAUGGUUGUAACGGGUAACGGGGAAUCAGGGUUCGAUUCCGGAGAGGGAGCCUGAGAAACGGCUACCACAUCCAAGGAAGGCAGCAGGCGCGCAAAUUACCCACUCCCAGAACGGGGAGGUAGUGACGAAAAAUAACAAUACGGGACUCUWUGAGGCCCCGUAAUUGGAAUGAGUACAAUCUAAAUCCUUUAACGAGGAUCUAUUGGAGGRCAAGUCUGGUGCCAGCASCCGCGGUAAUUCCAGCUCCAAUAGCGUAUAUUAAAGUUGUUGCGGUUAAAAAGCUCGUAGUUGGAUCUCAGUUCGAGCCGGGCGGUCCACCUGCCGGUGGUUACUGUCUGGGCUGAACGUGUUGGCCGAUUCUGUUGUCGGUGCUUUUAACCGAGUGUCGGCGGCGAUCGGUACGUUUACUUUGAAAAAAUUAGAGUGCUCAAAGCCGGCUGGUCAUGCCUGAAUAAUGUUGCAUGGAAUAAUGGAAUAGGACCUCGGUUCUAUUUUGUUGGUCUCCGGAAUCGGAGGUAAUGAUUAAGAGGGACAGACGGGGGCAUUCGUAUUGCGGCGCUAGAGGUGAAAUUCUUGGACCGUCGCARGACGAACUAAAGCGAAAGCAUUUGCCAAGAAUGUGUUCGUUGAUCAAGAACGACAGUUAGAGGUUCGAAGGCGAUCAGAUACCGCCCUAGUUCUAACCAUAAACGAUGCCAACCAGCAAUCCGCGCGAGUUCGUUUGUAUGACUCUGCGGGCGGCCCGAGGGAAACCCGAGUGUUUCGGUUCCGGGGGAAGUAUGGUUGCAAAGCUGAAACUUAAAGGAAUUGACGGAAGGGCACCACCAGGAGUGGAGCCUGCGGCUUAAUUUGACUCAACACGGGGAAACUCACCCGGCCCGGACACUGGAAGGAUUGACAGAUUGAGAGCUCUUUCUUGAUUCAGUGGGUGGUGGUGCAUGGCCGUUCUUAGUUGGUGGAGCGAUUUGUCUGGUUAAUUCCGAUAACGAACGAGACUCUAGCCUACUAAAUAGACCGUCGAGCUUGUCACACGCACGCUCGCGGGGCUUCUUAGAGGGACAGGCGGCGGUUCAGCCGCACGAAACAGAGCAAUAACAGGUCUGUGAUGCCCUUAGAUGUCCGGGGCUGCACGCGCGCUACACUGAAGUGAUCAGCGUGUCGACUGGUCCUGCUCCGAGAGGAGCGGGAAACCGUGUGAACCCGCUUCGUGAUGGGGAUAGGGCAUUGUAAUUGUUGCCCUUGAACGAGGAAUUCCCAGUAAGCGCGAGUCAUCAGCUCGCGUUGAUUACGUCCCUGCCCUUUGUACACACCGCCCGUCGCUACUACCGAUUGAAUGAUUUAGUGAGGUCUUCGGACUGGCCGGCGUUGCRGCUUCGGUUGCGACGCUGUGCUUGGGAAGAUGCCCAAACUUGAUCAUUUAGAGGAAGUA